rnacentral:misc_RNA from 1 species
AAGAAGUUGCUGCACGAUACA